UUCUUGUUUCAUUUUUUUCUUAUAUUAGAAUAAUCUCUAGAUUUGCAUGUCUCUCCCUCUCCCCCUUUUAUCUCUUUCUCUUCCCUCCCCUCUCUCUGUCAUAUCUUGAUAUGUCUCUCUCUCUCCUUUCUUUUCUCUCUCUAUAAGAUUUUAUAAUAAUCUUUUCUUUCUUUCUCCUCCAUAUACAUUUCUAUCUCUUCUUUCCUCUUUCUCCCCUCUCUUUUUUUCUCUCUAUUCCCUCCCCUCUCUCUAUCAUAUCUUAUUGGAUUUUAUAAUAAUCUGUAAAAUCUUUCCAAAUAACACUAUUUCCUAGGCAAUUGUUAUGCCUCGAAACCUUAACUCUCACUCUUACAACUCUCUCUCUUCUUAAAUAUUUCAAUCAUACAUAUCCUAUAAGCUCUCAUAAAAUAUGCUCAAACUUUUUAUACUUUUUCUUCUCUAUCAAACUACAAAAUUCUUAUAAUUUUUUUUGCACUCUUUUUUCCAAUCUUUUCUCCUCAAAAUUUAUAUAAUUUUUUCUCUCUAUUAAAACAACAAAUAUCUUACAAUUUUUCUUUCCCUUAUCAUUUUAUUUUUCUUUGGCUGGUACGUGCAUGCCUCAAAAUUGUUACUCACAUUAAAUUUACAUUCUUAUAAUUUUUUUUCAUUUUUUCCCACCAAUCCAAAUAAAUGUGAAUUUUUUUCUUUCAACCAAACAAAUGUUGAUAGAAAACUACUUUUUCUUCCUAUAAACCAAACACUACAAAAUAUAAAACAUUUUACUCCUGAUAAUUUUUUAAUAAAAAAUUAAUUUU
rnacentral:lncRNA from 1 species